UUAAGAGGUGAUAUGUGUUUUUAUGGUAAUGUAGUGAAGUGGUAUUUUGGUAUGAGGAUUGUAGGGUGUAAACAAUGGAGAGUUGAUGAUUGAGGGAGAAGCUUGUUCGUUUUGUUUGUGAGAGGAAGGUUGAGUGUUUGAAGGAGAAGGAGGUUAUGCCUCUUAUGAGUGAAGGAAGAUGAAGUUGAUGGAGGAAAGAAAAAU
rnacentral:lncRNA from 1 species